CAGUGUGUCCUGAUGGUUCAAACCCGGUGAACUGUUUUAUCAAUCCUUGUCAGGAACCUAAUACUGGUUGUUACAAUAUACCUGGAGCCACCUGCCGGGCAUACUACUGUGGCGGGUGUUUCCGGCGCUGGUAUUUAGGGUUCUUAGAAGUGACCAGCUUCUGUUAUCCAGGCUGAACUGACCAUCUUUCUUUGUGCUGAAUAUAAGAAUAAUAAAAAUUAUGAGCCUA